rnacentral:lncRNA from 1 species
CUGACAUUCAGUUUGGAGUUCAGGAGAUUGUCUUGACCAGGACCACACCCCUAAAUGCAUUGAAGCAACUGCCAUGUGAUUGGUUGAUUAGAUAAUUGCAUUAAUGAGAAAUUGAACAGGUGUUCCUAAUAAUCCUUUAGGUGAGUGUAUGUUGUCUUGGUUACUCUGACCAUCUCUGUAAGAUACACUAAACUGGAAUUAUCAAUUAGUUGGUCUUAAUUAUUAGAUUGUGUGGUACUAUACUGUUUUCAAGUUAAAGAUUGUAUUGUCAUAUUAUUACAAUCUUCUGUUCAACUGUCUCAAUUAAAUUCACAAGCUUACAUAGCGCUACUGCAAUAAACGUAAUAACCAUUUAAAAAAAAAAAGUUUAGCUUCAUGUACUCACAUGAAACUUUCAUGUGCUCACGUGAAACUUUCAUGUGCUCACACAAAACCUAAAAUUUUGUUUCAUGUGAUCACGUGAAACUUUCAUGUGCGCACACAAAACCUUUUCAUGUGCGCACAUGAAAGUUUCAGCAAAGAACUACGGUUAGAUGGCGGCUAAAGAUGAGUUGGAAACGUUCCUUAAAAGCCGAAAUAUACCAGACAAUAUCAUAUUUAAACUGAAAGAUGAUAAAAACAAAACCAGGAGACAUCAUCACAAGAGGACUGAAACUCCAAAAGAGGAUCACCCAGAGAAAUCUUCUGAUUCAGAUGAGGCACCUACUGACUCAGUGCAAGAAACUCAUAAAAGAACAGGGUGACCAGCCAGGCAAUCAAGACCAGUCCCUCGUGAGAUGAGUGACAUAGAAUUCAUGCCUUCACUUUCUGAUGAUUGUUUAAUGCUUGCGUCAAAUGAACAUGCAGACCAGUGCAGUUCUGAGGUGGAUUCCCCAAUUGCCCUUGCCAUCCAUGCAUCUCUCGAAGACUUUGAAGUACAGUUUGGAGGAAUUUGUGCUGGUGAUGAUUGUUGUGAAGACUCCACUCUUCCUUGGAAUCCUUGUGAUCUCAACAAUAUGCAGCAUUCUACAAUGAAUGAUGGACCUGCAUCAUCAAACAGUCUUACAGCAUCACCAGAUCAGUCUGAAAAAUAAGUCUUGUAUGUGUAAUUAAGGCGAGUAAACAUAGUUCAUGACAUCCUUAAUGUCUUCAUGGAACCAAGAGUAUUGAAUGUUAAUCUGAAAAUGGAGUUUAUGAAUGAGAAAGCUGUGGACAGUGAUGCUGUGUCAAGAGAGGUGUAUUCAGCCUUCUGGGAACACUUCUUGGAACAAUGUGAGGGGGAAGAAGAGAGAGUUCACAGACUACGACCAGACAAUUCUGAGAAGGAAGAGUCUGGUUGAAAGGAUACUUGGACCACGGCAUCAUGCCUAUCAUACUGUCACCAGCUUUUGUUCUUGCCAGCUGCCAAGGAGUCAGCU